rnacentral:rRNA from 1 species
UACGGAGGGGGCUAGCGUUGUUCGGAAUUACUGGGCGUAAAGGGCGCGUAGGCGGCCCGGUAAGUCAAAGGUGAAAUCCCUCGGCUCAACUGAGGAACUGCCUUUGAAACUGUCGGGCUUGAGGCCGGGAGGGGGUAGCGGAAUUCCCAGUGUAGCGGUGAAAUGCGUAGAUAUUGGGAGGAACACCGGUGGCGAAGGCGGCUACCUGGACCGGUUCUGACGCUGAUGCGCGAAAGCGUGGGUAGCAAACAGG